UUCUGUGUAGCUCAGUUGGUAAAGCAUCUACCUGCAAUGCAGGAAACCUGGGUUCAAUUCCUGGGUCGGGAA
rnacentral:tRNA from 1 species